rnacentral:rRNA from 1 species
ACGGGAGGCAGCAGUAGGGAAUUUUCGGCAAUGGGCGAAAGCCUGACCGAGCAACGCCGCGUGAACGAAGAAGUAUUUCGGUAUGUAAAGUUCUUUUAUUAGGGACGAAAAAAUCAAAAUUGACGGUACCUAAUGAAUAAGCUCCGGCUAACUACGUGCCAGCAGCCGCGGUAAUACGUAGGGAGCGAGCGUUAUCCGGAAUUAUUGGGCGUAAAGGGUGCGUAGACGGCAAUAUAAGUCUUAUGUUAAAGAUCUGGGCUCAACCCAGUGGUGCAUAAGAUACUGUAUAGCUAGAGUAUGGAAGAGGCAAGUGGAACUCCAUGUGUAGCGGUAAAAUGCGUAAAUAUAUGGAAGAACACCAGUGGCGAAGGCGGCUUGCUGGUCCGAUACUGACGUUGAGGCACGAAAGCGUGGGGAGCAAACAGGAUUAGAUACCCUGGUA